CAAACCCUCAUCCCUGAACGAUUACAGGCCAGUUGCGCUGACCUCGGUAGUAAUGAAGGUGUUUGAGAGGCUGCUGAAGAACAUCAUCUCCUCCUCCAUCCCAGACACCACAGAUCCGCUCCAGUUCGCCUACCGACCCAACAGCUCCACUGAGGACGCCAUCGCCCACAUCCUGCACACCACCCUCAGCCACGUGGACAAGAAACAGGGGAAAACUUCUGACAAAAGCUACACCAGAAAAUCAUGGAGGCUUUGGAUGAUUGCAAACUUUCGGUUCUAAAUGCUGCCAACAUAGAUGAGGUCUUGCUCCACACCCUCAGUAGGGACAAUUUAAGGGACCUGCUUCCAGGGCCUGAAAAUUUUAUGAGGAGGAAUCAGUUGUGGGCUCAAGUUCACAAAGAGGCAAGUUUUGCCGCUUUUGAUUUAAAAACACCUAGCACAACACAUUUUGUUUAGGACUCCAGUAAUAUAACUAUUUUCGUUUUCUUAUUUAGGAUGAAACUAAAGAAAAGGGGUCUCAUGGAUAUCUCACCAUGUGACCAGGGAGAAGAUUAUGAUGCAGAUUCAAGUGGUGGAUUGUAUAAGAUAAAGGUCAG
ensembl:lncRNA